rnacentral:rRNA from 1 species
AGAGUUUGAUCCUGGCUCAGAUUAAACGCUGGCGGUAUGCUUAACACAUGCAAGUCGAACGGUACAGGAGAGAGCUUGCUCUCUUGCUGACGAGUGGCGGACGGGCGAGUAACGCGUAGGAAUCUGCCUAGUAGUGGGGGACAACUCGGGGAAACUCGAGCUAAUACCGCAUACGCCCUACGGGGGAAAGCGGGGGAUCUUCGGACCUCGCGCUAUAAGAUGAGCCUGCGUUGGAUUAGCUUGUUGGUGAGGUAAUGGCUCACCAAGGCGACGAUCCAUAGCUGGUCUGAGAGGACGAUCAGCCACACUGGGACUGAGACACAGCCCAGACUCCUACGGGAGGCAGCAGUGGGGAAUAUUGGACAAUGGGGGCAACCCUGAUCCAGCAAUACCGCGUGUGUGAAGAAGGCCUGCGGGUUGUAAAGCACUUUCAAUUGGGAAGAAAAGCUUGGGGAUAAUACCCCCGAGUCUUGACGUUACCUUUAGAAGAAGCACCGGCUAACUCCGUGCCAGCAGCCGCGGUAAUACGGAGGGUGCAAGCGUUAAUCGGAAUUACUGGGCGUAAAGCGCGCGUGGGUGGUUUAGUAAGUCAGAUGUGAAAGCCCUGGGCUCAGCCUGGGAACUGCAUUUGAUACUGCUUGACUAGAGUAUGGUAGAGGGAAGUGGAAUUCCGGGUGUAGCGGUGAAAUGCGUAGAUAUCCGGAGGAACAUCAGUGGCGAAGGCGACUUCCUGGACCAAUACUGACACUGAGGUGCGAAAGCGUGGGUAGCAAACAGGAUUAGAUACCCUGGUAGUCCACGCCGUAAACGAUGUCAACUAGCCGUUGGACUCAUUAUAAGGGUUUAGUGGCGAAGCUAACGCGAUAAGUUGACCGCCUGGGGAGUACGGCCGCAAGGUUAAAGCUCAAAGGAAUUGACGGGGGCCCGCACAAGCGGUGGAGCAUGUGGUUUAAUUCGAUGCAACGCGAAGAACCUUACCAGCCCUUGACAUCCUCGGAACUUACUAGAGAUAGUUUGGUGCCUUCGGGAGCCGAGUGACAGGUGCUGCAUGGCUGUCGUCAGCUCGUGUCGUGAGAUGUUGGGUUAAGUCCCGUAACGAGCGCAACCCUUGUCCUUAGUUGCCAGCACAUAAUGGUGGGAACUCUAGGGAGACUGCCGGUGACAAACCGGAGGAAGGUGGGGAUGACGUCAAGUCAUCAUGGCCCUUAUGGGCUGGGCUACACACGUGCUACAAUGGCCGGUACAGAGGGCAGCCAACCCGCGAGGGGGAGCCAAUCUCAGAAAACCGGUCGUAGUCCGGAUUGCAGUCUGCAACUCGACUGCAUGAAGUCGGAAUCGCUAGUAAUCGCGAAUCAGCAUGUCGCGGUGAAUACGUUCCCGGGCCUUGUACACACCGCCCGUCACACCAUGGGAGUGGGUUGCAAAAGAAGUAGGUAGCUUAACCUUCGGGAGGGCGCUUACCACUUUGUGAUUCAUGACUGGGGUGAAGUCGGAACAAGGUA